UACGGAAGGGGCAAGCGUUGUUCGGAAUCAUUGGGCGUAAGGGCGCGUAGGUGGUUCUGUAUGUCUACCGUGAAAGCGUACGGCUCAACCGUAUUUUGUCGGUAGAAACUGCAGGACUUGAGGCUGGGAGGGGCUGGUGGAAUUCCCUGUGUAGCGGUGAAAUGCGUAGAGAUGGGGGAGAACACUCGUGGCGAAGGCGGCCAGCUAGACCAGUUCUGACACUGAGGCGCGACAGCGUGGGGAGCAAACAGG
rnacentral:rRNA from 1 species